UACAGAGGGUGCUAGCGUUGUUCGGAAUCAUUGGGCGUAAAGGGCGUGUAGGCGGUUUGUUAAGUCAUGUGUGAAAUCCCUCGGCUCAACCGGGGAAGGACGCAUGAAACUGGCAAGCUAGAGUACCAAAGAGGGGGGUGGAAUUCCCGGUGUAGCGGUGAAAUGCGCAGAUAUCGGGAGGAACACCGGUGGCGAAGGCGGUUCUCUGGGCCUGUACUGACGCUGAGGAGCGAAAGCGUGGGGAGCGAACAGG
rnacentral:rRNA from 1 species